AACGAACGUUAGCGGCGCGCCUAACACAUGCAAGUCGAGCGAGAAAGGGCUUCGGCCCCGGUAAAGCGGCGCACGGGUGAGUAACACGUGGAUAACCUACCCCUUGGUGGUGGAUAACCUUCCGAAAGGAGGGCUAAUACAGCGUAAGACCACGACUUCGAAAGAGGUUGAGGUAAAAGUGGGCCUCUGUACACAAGCUCACGCCAGGGGAUGGGUCCGCGGCCCAUCAGCUAGUUGGUAGGGUAACGGCCUACCAAGGCGAAGACGGGUAGCUGGUCUGAGAGGAUGAUCAGCCACACUGGAACUGAGACACGGUCCAGACUCCUACGGGAGGCAGCAGUGGGAAUCUUGCGCAAUGGACGAAAGUCUGACGCAGCGACGCCGCGUGAGUGAUGAAGG
rnacentral:rRNA from 1 species